rnacentral:rRNA from 1 species
UACGUAGGUGGCAAGCGUGUCCGGAUUUAUUGGGUUUAAAGGGUGCGUAGGCGGUCUUUUAAGUCAGUGCUGAAAUAUCCCGGCUUAACCGGGAGGGUGGCAUUGAUACUGAAGGACUUGAGUACAGUCGAGGUAGGCGGAAUUGACGGUGUAGCGGUGAAAUGCUUAGAUAUCGUCAAGAACACCGAUAGUGUAGACAGCUUACUAGGCUGAAACUGACGCUGAGGCACGAAAGUGUGGGGAUCAAACAGG